GUUACUGCGACUUUGAUCUAAAUAGCUCUGUAAAGCCCAUUAUCACAUUUUUAAAAUAAUAUGCUUUAGCAGCAGGUGAGGAAAACUUAAGGCAUGGCACAUUUAUUGGAAAAGUGGCAGUGGGCGGCUUGGUUUAAUGGCAACACCACUAGAUAACUGUCUAAGGCCCUUUCCAGAUCCAAUGGUCAAGGUAACAGCACAAACAAAGAAAAUCUCAGAGGUCUCUUCUUAUGCCUCUGCUAACAAUAAAAAAGAACAGCUUUCUGGGAAGUGGGCUGCUUUAUUCUGCAGCCCUCCUCAGAUACCAAGACUGCUGGGCUGGUCACCAUACUCAUGUCCUCAGUAAGGAAUUUACCUCCUACUUUUCUUCGGGGGCAGGUAGGGAAGCACAGCACCAGCCCUCAGCUGUCUUGGGCUCCCUGAUCUGGUUAAGGAGAGUGUAUUUACUCAGGGCCAUGGUGGUGCAUGGAGGAAGCCAACCCUGUCAGCGCUGGCUGGUCAUCAGAAUGGAAGUGGGAUGACAUCCUUCAUUUCCAGGUCAUGCCUGGUUAACAUUUCACCUUAACUGAGGGGCCGAAGAGAGGCUAUGCAGCCUGGAUCAGAGCUCCGACAGCCCUCACCCGGUGGCUUGUUCGUGGAAUUUAUCACAUCCUGUUGUAACACUGUUUACAUCUCUGCUGUCCAGCCAGACUCCGCCUCCUGUGAUUUUCUCAUCCCACCACCCAGUACUGUAGAUGCUCAACGGAUGACUAUAAACAAGUGAACAGAUAGCAGGAGUGGCUGCCCUUAUGCCCAUGGAACUGGGCCUCUCAAUUCAGCCCAUGUUGGUCAUUUCAUAUCAUCUGAAUGUAAAGGGUCCUCUCUGUCUCUGACCAGGCUUCCUGCAGGCCUUUGGCAGCCGUGGAGCUCUGAGAGGGACUGGUUUCCUGAGGGCUGGGCACCCCAGUCUAUUUAUUGGGAGGCCACAAACAGAGAGAGUGGGCAUCAGGACCAACGGGCACAUGGCCACCACCCAAAUACGUGACUCUGGCAUGUAUUUCACUUCUCUGGGGCCAGAUGGCCUCUUCCUAAGAUUCUCCUCAGUGCUGAGAGUUCUUCAGUCCUGCCUGCUGACUUCCCUCCAGGACAGAACAGAUGCCUCUUCCUCCCAUAGAUAUGAUGCAAGAACUGAGCUGUCCAAGCAAAAAAAAAACCUUUGAAGGAAGAAUUUCUGUGCUGUGAGUGGUUUACUCUGAGAAUAGGACUCAAGUUUUAGAAAUCUUUGUUCAGUGUCAGAGAUAGAGCGACUGUAAUCUGUGAGCCAAGAAAAAAGGUUUGUAAAGGCUAGAAGAAAAGAAGCCCAUGGCUAAGAACUUGCAAAAACAUCUACAGCAAACAAGAGUUCCAAGAGAAAGACUGUGAAUCAGCAGGCCCACAGGAGCUGGAGAGCGAGCUUUGAAACGAUACAGAAUUAAUUGUCUAAGGGGCAAAUAAAUGGUGCAGAACACAAAUGCAGGAGGUGACACAAACGCACCUGGAUUCAACAGAGGACAAGUAGACACAUCUAUGUCCCAGGCUGCACUAAUGAGGAAAGCCCACCAGGUGGGAAGUAGGGACCACUGAGAGUUUAUAAGGCUAAAAACCCCAGUCUUGGGAUGCGGAGAAGGAGGGAAGGAAGUGAGAAUGAACAGGAAUGGCAUUUUCUGUUCACUUCACUGACAGCUUUGCACUGUGCAUUUCCAGCUGGGCACGUCCCAGACAUGAUCUCUUGCAUGGGCUGUACUAACGAACAUCAAAUGUUCAGGCUGGCAACCAGUUACAUGAACCAGUGUCAGGCGUGCACAUUAACAGGCAUCUGACUAGGGCAGGGCUGGGCAAACUAUGGCCCCUGCGCUACAUCCAGCCUAAAGCCUGUUUCUGUAAAUAAAGUUUUAUCAAAACACCC
rnacentral:antisense_RNA from 1 species